ACAAGUUUGCCACUCACUUGAAAUGAAGUAUAAAAUCAACUUUAUAGCUUUAUUUCUCAUUAGGGUUUUCUUUGAGGUAAAGAGGUGAAACCUUUUCUCUCUUUCUCUACAAGGAGGCCGGCCACAUAGGGAAGAAAGAGCUAGCAAUCUUUUUCUUCUCUAAGUCAUACAUUUCAUCUUCACACCUCAUCCUUGGUGUGGAGACUUAGAGACACCAAACCUUUGGUGUUUUGGAGAUCCUUUCCUCACAUCCUCAAGGAGCAAAGGAGCAUCAAAAAGAAGGAAAUCACAAGGAAGAUCCAAGGAGCUAGGAGGUGACUUGAAGGCCCUCCACUUGGGUGAAUCCCUUGUGUAAACAAGGAUGAGCUUCAAGGGUAAUGAAUCUCUAAAAUCUUACCUUCUCUUUAAUGUUGUUAAAGAGUCUUAUGGUUCACCAUUCACUAGGCUUUGAAAGUCAUGGGUUUUAGAAUUGUUUUUUAAUGCAUGCCUACUUUAUGUUGGAAAUGUGCCCUAAAACCAAUCAUAUGAUGAUACUUUACGGACAUUUCACAUGUUAAACUAAUGUAGUUUAAAUAUAAAGGGCAAAGAUUAUUGUUUAAGCCGUCUCAUAUAAAUAUUAUAUGCUUAAACGAUAAGUCCAAGGAAUAUGUGAUUGGGAGAAUGCAAUCUAAAGAAGUUAGAUUCAUGAGACCAUUCUUUCGUAGACACAUCCUAAACGUUCUUGAUCAUAGGAUUGCCAAUUAGGCAUUGACAGUCCGUUAAGAUCAGUACGUUCCGUGUCUUCUCUCAGGGAGAAUGACUAGUCUCGAGUCAUUGGUGUGUGUGACAUCAAGACAAGUACGUAGGUGCUCAAUAGAGAAUGAGUUCAUUGAACACGAUCAACGAAGAGUUCUCAUAUUCAUGUCACAUGAGAACUCGUGGUUGGGAUAAUGUAAAGUAGUCCUUUGACCUGAGGCAUCACAGUUGUCUUGUGGUUAAGUCUUCGAUCUUUGAUUAUGUCAAAGUCACCCCAUCCACGGGUGUCCACGGCAUCGUUGGGGUUAAGCCACUUAGCCAUGGAGACAAUUGAAUGCGCAACAAGGGAUCUCUAACCUUCAAACCGUUUGGGGGAGAAUACUCUAUGAUAUGAUUGAAA
rnacentral:lncRNA from 1 species